UGAGUUUGAUCAUGGCUCAGAUUGAACGCUGGCGGCAGGCCUAACACAUGCAAGUCGAACGGUAACAUUUCUAGCUUGCUAGAAGGUGACGAGUGGCGGACGGGUGAGUAAUGCUUGGGAACUUGCCUUUGCGAGGGGGAUAACAGUUGGAAACGACUGCUAAUACCGCAUAAUGUCUUCGGACCAAACGGGGCUUCGGCUCCGGCGCAAAGAGAGGCCCAAGUGAGAUUAGCUAGUUGGUAAGGUAACGGCUUACCAAGGCGACGAUCUCUAGCUGUUCUGAGAGGAAGAUCAGCCACACUGGGACUGAGACACGGCCCAGACUCCUACGGGAGGCAGCAGUGGGGAAUAUUGCACAAUGGGGGAAACCCUGAUGCAGCCAUGCCGCGUGUGUGAGGAAGGCCUUCGGGUUGUAAAGCACUUUCAGUUGUGAGGAAAAGUUAGUAGUUAAUACCUGCUAGCCGUGACGUUAACAACUGAAGAAGCACCGGCUAACUCCGUGCCAGCAGCCGCGGUAAUACGGAGGGUGCGAGCGUUAAUCGGAAUUACUGGGCGUAAAGCGCACGCAGGCGGUUUGUUAAGCUAGAUGUGAAAGCCCCGGGCUCAACCCGGGAUGGUCAUUU
rnacentral:rRNA from 1 species